rfam:Lupinus angustifolius cultivar Tanjil contig_4178, whole genome shotgun sequence.
AGGUGCGAUCACACCAACACUAAUCCAUUGGAUCCCAUCGGAACUCUGCGGUAAAGCAUUCUUGGGCGAGAGUAGUACUAGAAUGGGUGACCUCCUAGGAAGUCCUCCUGUUGCACCUC